UAAAGCCAGAAAGAUUAAAAACUGAGGGAAAUUAAUUGUAAAGCCUGAAAGAAGUUUCUGUCUGAAGUAUUUUAGCCAUGAGGUCAAGUGAGAAGGAGAAGUGUUGGCUUUUUAAAUACUUGAAACACACUAGACUCCGAGAGGAUUUAGUACUGCUAUAACAGACUGAUGCAGCAGGUGGCAGUAAUG